UACGUAGGGUGCAAGCGUUGUCCGGAAUUAUUGGGCGUAAAGAGCUCGUAGGCGGUCUGUCGCGUCGGCUGUGAAAUCCCGAGGCUCAACCUCGGGUCUGCAGUCGAUACGGGCAAACUGGAGUGUUGCAGGGGAGACUGGAAUUCCUGGUGUAGCGGUGAAAUGCGCAGAUAUCGGGAGGAACACCAGCGGCGAAGGCGGCACUCUGGGCUGGUACUGACGCUGAGGAGCGAAAGCGUGGGUAGCAAACAGG
rnacentral:rRNA from 1 species